UUAGUACGCAGUUACAGCUGCGCCAUAGUUCUCCGCGCUGCUGAAGUUUCUCCGGUCGCGUUUGAAACUUACCAAAUAGAAGAAUCGUACGAAUCUCUCGCAUGUUUAGUCCGGUUUCCAGUUUUGAUUGAGCAAGAACUCGGGAAGUAGUGCUCAGUUUGAUCUAAAAAUUUUGAAACAGUGCUUAACAAUCAGUAGCUACUGAAAGACCUAUAUCAUUGAAAAUUUCGUGAAUUCUGUAACUCGGAAAUUUUUCCAUAAGCAGUGGUGAACAAUGUUUUUACCGUGACCAUCAUGUUUUGAUGCUCCCGAUCUGCCCGCGGAGUGAGAGGUGUAAUCUAGAUUUUGGUUUAAAAUUAUACUUCGUUGCCAUUUCAAGGACGGAUUUAUUGAUAUAUUUAGAGUACGAUUUUACAAUUUCACUCGAUUUCUGACUUAAUAUUUUCGCAUUUCGGAUUUAUACCUGACAGACGACGGAGUUGCCUAGUUCUUCGCGAUACGGUUCAACUUUUAACUACUACGACUACGCCGUGCUGCAAAAAAUCGUAAACAGGCUUUCAAUCAGUCACCACGUCGGCUACUUCGUUGCAGUACGCAUUCAACUUCCAACCACGAAGGGCAGGAGUUAUACAUAGCAUCGCUCAAUUCGUUCAUAGGAACCCGGAAAUGCUGCCGCCGUAGCUGCCGUUUGCCAGGACUCCCCCUGUUCAUCAGGGGGAGUCCACUGACCCGUCCCCUGGGACAGCGCGGCCUCCCACCGCCCCCGGGUCCCAGGGGA